AAAAAAAGCAAGAAGAGCUAAGGUUGGGAGAAGGAAGAAGAAAGGCAAGAGAGGUGAUAAAAGCCAAAGAGAGAGUCUUGGCAAGUGGAAGUAUUGAAAUUUCAAGAAAAGAGGUGGAGAAUCAUCUAAAGGAAAAGGAGUUUUGCAAGGUUGAAGGUAUUGAAGAAAGUAGAAAUGCAUGUGAAGUGUAUGUAUUUUGUGGGUUUAGUGAGAAAUGUUGUAUUUAUUUUGUUAAAUAUGUAAUAAAU